UGUGAAGUAGCUGGGGAAGAAGGGCGAGGAAGGAGAUAAAAUGCGGAAGUUGAGAGGUUAAAAGAAAACGGGAAUUAUAUUUGAAAAGAAAUGCCGUAAGUUCAUUAUGAUUCGAAAUUUGAAGCCAAAAUUGUGAAUUUUAUUUUACUUCAUAUCUAACGGGCUUAUUGCGCGGGCGCAUCGGCGCCCGGCGCAUAUAUUGAUUGUUUUAGAAGUGUCCCUGGUGCAAUGGGCUUGCGCAUGCGGCGUUUUCAUUGUUUUGAUCGCGCAUGCGCCGUUUCUUACCGUCCGCUCUCGGAUAAUUCCGAAGCAGUUCGCCAUUAGACUGGUUCCUGUUCGAUUUUGCAAUAGAAGAUUGGUAAUCUUCUAAUAUGUGAAGCUUUGAAAAUAUAAGGCAAAUUAAAACCAGAGAUGUUUUUAAAUAACUCUUUUAGAGAAAAAAUAUCAUAAAUGCACAGUUGUUGAGAAAACUUCUCUUUUUAAUUUAAAUAUUUUUACAUAAAAGAAUAAACCACGAAUGCGCAGAAUGUAUAAUCUUAGAAAAUCGGUGAACCAGUCUAUUAUCUGAUUACAUGACGUGUACGGGUCAGAUGCAAGCGUCCAGUAGAUUAGGGAUAUCGAGGUCAACACGCUGGCGGUUGGGGAAAGAUUUAGGCGAAUGUGCGGUCAAGGUCAAAAUUGCGAGAGGUUGAAUCGAAGUGAAAUACCGCAACAAAAACGUUCGAUUUGGACAUUAACGCGUCUAACUGAAUCAGUCACAAUGUUUCUACCACAAGAGUUGUAAAUAUUGAACAGAAAGGGCUUCAUCUUCAAGAUGAAAACUGCAAAAAAUGGCCACCAACAAGAAUGGGCCAGGACUGAGGAGUUCCAAGAAAUGAGUAUUCUUCAGCCCACAAAUAUCAGUGCUGCCCCGCUGCCCAAAACCAGAGUGUGGCAACAAGUAAAUGGACCUUGACAAAUUUCCUCUAUGUUAGAGCCAGUCCCUUACACAAGUGGCCUAGUUUUGCACAGCUGAGGUUGUUAUCAAACGCAGCAGUAGGUAUGAAAUGCGGAAACUGUUCCAACUUGAUCUUCAACAGUUGAGUUACUCCUCAUCACAAUACCUGAACUGAAAACAAUCGGUGAUGAUCCUGCAUUUCACUUCUACCUCACAGUGCUCUUCCCUAUAAACGCUAGAGGAAAGUUUGAAAAUGAAAAACUUGUCAUUGCAAGUGUGAAAGGACCAAUUGAUUCUUAACGAAACAACCUGCCUCAAUGCUUUAGCUGACACUACAUCAAGUCAACACAAGGCAAUUUGUUUUUCUCGCAACCUGACCGGUAUGUUGAAUCUGAUCAAAAUUGUACACAACCACUGGUCAAGAAUAUAGAAAUACAAGUUGUAUGAUCAGUAACCUAAAAUAUUCUUGAAUAUUUGAACAUAAUAAAAAGGUAUGUUGAAUUUGAUCAAAAUUGUACACAACCACUGGUCAAGAAUAUAGAAAUACAAGUUGUAUGAUCAGUAACCUAAAAUAUUCUUGAAUAUUUGAACAUAAUAAAAAAGUAUUCGUUAAAGUUAUUCAUAUUGUGUGUAGUGUAGGUAAGAUCAAAGUCAAGGUUAUUUUGGCUAAAAAAAGGAAAAUGAGUCUUGAUUCAUAACAUCGAUGAAAUAGCAAGCCUUAAGUAUUUUCGAUAAAGUGAUACAUAUAUUUUGUGGUGAUGUCAUAACCUUUUUUCACUGUUUUUGAAGAGAAAACACAUGCUAUAAAUAUAUUAUCACAUUUGUGUUUUUUUAGCUCGACUAUUUUAAGAAUAAGGUGGGCUAUACUAUUGGCUCUGGUGUCGGUGUCCGGUUCAAGUUUUAGGGCAAGUUGGGAUUUUCACUUAUAAGUCCAAUACCCUUCAUUCAAUUGACUUAAUACCUCACACAGUUGUUCAGGGCCAUCAUAUAAUGGGAAUAGAUAACUCCUUUAUACAAGUUAUGGCCCCUGAUUGACUAUCAAACUUAGGUUAAAGUUUAUUGAUAACUUCUCUACCAUUCGUUCAUUUAACUUAAUACUUGACCCAUUUGUUCAGGACCAUCACACAAUGAGGUUACAUAACUCUGUAUUAUCCUCAAUACAAGUUAUAGCCCCUGAUUGACUUAGGUUAAAGGUUUAGGGCAGGUUAAAGGAACAAGUUGGGAUUUUCACUAAUAAGUCCAAUACCCUUCAUUCAAUUGACUUACCGUAAUACUUUACACAGAUGUUCAGAGCCAUCACAUAAUUAGGUAAGAUAACUCCAUAUCAUAUUUUAUUCACAUAAUGGCCCCUGAUUGACUAUGGAACUUAGGUUAAAUUUUUAGGGCAGGUUGAUAUAUUUAUUGAUAACUUCUAUACCCUUCAUUCACAUUAUCCUUAAUACAAGUUAUGGCCCCUGAUUGACUUAGGUUAAAGUUUUAGGGCAAGUUAAAGUUUUAGGGCAAAUUGGGAUUUUAAUAAAAAAAACUUCUAUACCUUCAUUUAAUGCACUUAAUACUUCGCAGAAUUAUUGACGACCAUCUUACACUAAGGAACAUAACUUCAUGUUAACCCUAAAUACAAAUUAUUGCACUUGAAUGUUUUUUUUUUCUUUUUAACUCUUCUUUUAAUUUCUUCAGAAAGGCACAUUUUUAUAUUCCUAACCACAUUUUCAUAAAGGGAAAACAAGAUAUUUGAAUGACCUGUGUCAUUGUUCGGGUGGGCUGGUGUUAGGGCAGCGUCAAAGUCACCUUAUGUAUCGAAUAAUUUUAGUUAGGUUUGACAUACAGAGACCAAACUUGGUAUAUGCAAAGAGUUUAUGGAGACCUUUUAUGGGAAUGCGUUUGAGGCCCCUAUGAUCAAGGUCAAGGUUACUAUAAAUAGAAAAAGGGUUGGUUUUGAAUAACUUAAGUAAGGGUCUUCUUAUUGGUACCAAAUUUGGUAUAUAGGAAGAGUUUAUAGAGACCUUUCCUGAGAUUGUGUUUUUGGCCCCGAGAGUUAUGGUCUAGGUCAAGGUCAAUAUAGAAAUAUGGUAAGUACUGAAUAACUCAAGUAAGGAUUGACAUAGUGUGACCAAACUUGGUAUAUAGGACAAGUUCAUGCAGAGCUUUAAUGGAUGCUUUUUGGCCCCCUAGCGUCGUUGUCACUGUUACUAAAAAUAGAUUACUGUUUCAGUUAAGGCUGACAUACUGUGACCAAACUUGAUAUAUGUAGGAAGAGUUUAUAGCGCGGACACGAGUAUGUGUACUCAGACAUUUAAAUAUCUCGUGUGACUUUGAUCUUUGAGUUAUGGACCCUGGUCAAUGUCACUGCUCAUCGUCUCAAUGAGGAUAACAUUUGUACCAAGCAAUAUGGUAAUCCAUCAAUGCAUAAGUAAGUUAUAGCACGGACACGAAAUGUUACAGCCAGACGGACAGACAGACUGAUGAAGUGUUUCUGUAAUCCCCUCCCCACUCCGUGGCGGGGGAUUUGAAAUUUGAUAUUUAUAAAAUAGUGUACUUACAUUUUUGCCAUUGUUCUGUUUUACCAUUCUGUCAAUAUGUUAAGUGACAGUUGUGCCAAUAUCUUACAGUCACCAUAUAUGACUUUACAGAAUCGUAACAUUAUUUAAUAACCUCAUCAUAAUGAUUACUUAUCUUCCUAUUGUUUUCUUAAAUGUUCUGCAAUUUCAAUAAUUAUUUACAAAACAUGUUCCUAAAAUCAGAGACAUUUGACAGUAUUAUAAGAAUUCUCAUUCAAGGUUUUGUCUAUCUGAACACUGAUGUUUGCAUAAUGCUCUGUAGAUAUCACUAUGCUUUUGCUAAGUUUAAUUCCCAUUAAUGUUUAAAUUAAUUUCUCAUAUGUACAUAUAUUUAACAAUGUUCUGUUUUUCAACAUCUCAAUUAAACAGUUACAAAAUGUUAAUUUACAAGAAAUACUUGUAUUUAUAUCACUAUGUCAUUUUGCCAUGUCACCCUUCUUUACUACCUGUUAUGCUUAAAGCUGCACUCUCACAGAUUUACCAUUUGAACAACUUUUUUUAUUUUUUGUCUUGGAAAGCGCAAAUUUUGUGUUAAUAUCCACAAACAAAUGAUUUAAGAUUACUGACAAAAGAUCAAAUCACAGAUUUUCAUAUUUCCAUUUGAAAAUUAAUGUCUUAUGGCUAAAGCUGUUAUUACCAGUUUAAGAAAAUUGCAUAAAACAUCAAUUUUUGAACUUGCGUAUAAAAAUCUGCAUUCUUUUUUUAUCAGCUGUCUGAUAUAACUGGUUUCAAUGGAUUUUCGCAAAAUAUGGCUCGUUCUAAGUCAAAAAAUGAAAAAGUUGUCAAACAUUCAAUCUGUGAGAGUGCAGCUUUAACUCUGAUGAAUAUAUCAUUCAAUGUCUCUUUUAUAGGCACUGACUCUCCAUUUACAAACAUUAGAAUUCAUAAUGCUUAAAAAAGUAUGCCUGUUUCAACUUCUCAACUUACCCUGCUUUUUUGCAUUACCCUUAACCAUUCUAUUGUGUGUUGUUGUUUUUCAUUUUCGUGAUUUAUGACUUUUCAAACUUUAAAAAAUAAUGGCCUUUUGGCUAUCAACCAUAUCAGCAAUGCUUAUACUGAUGAUAUAAAACUCCAGGCAUAUCAUUUAUAGUUUUGGGUUUGACAACUUUCAACUUUUAAGUUAGUAAAUCAUUUAACAAAUAUACCUAUUUUCAACCGAAUUCAUUCCAACAUAACAACUGAAACUGAGUCUUUUUAAGCCCCCCCCCCCCUGAAAAAGAUAUUUAUCACCCUAUUAAUAGUUUCAUUCAAAUACUGUGCAUUUGCAUACUGGGUACAUAUUACUAGGUUUUCAUGCAUUUUCAUUUAUAUUCUUUUCUUUCAUACCUGUUCUAUUUCGUUGCUUAUGAAAUAGUACCAGCAUGUAUUUUAGUAUUGUAUUAAUUUGUCUGUAUAUGUCGCACUUACACCAAAUUAUAACAAAUAUUCUUUCUAUUGUUAAUUACAUUUUAGUACAACUCUACCAUUCCCAGCAUACAUACUAACUCUGUAUAUUUUGUUUUUGUGUCAUUAUAUUUCCAUACACAUUAAGUGAUCAACUUCCUAGUCAUACCACUAUCAACCUGCAUCACAUUCUGCUCAUCAUUCUUAUAUCUUAUGCCUUAAAAGUGCAUAAUGCAUGAUGAUUACAUAAUGUUUAUUACCUGUAAGUGUCAGUAUAUGCUAAACUUCUUUCCUUUGUUUAAAACAUCCUGCGUGCCUAUAAAUCAUCUACGCCACAGAACAAGGAAAAUGACAUUAAUAAUGAUGAUCAGACUUCUUUCUUUCAGCUCAUGUAUAACCAACUUCUUUCAGUUUAUGUUAAAUGUAUUUUUUUAAUUGUGUUAAAAUCUGUUACAUAAGCAAACAGUUUUAUGUGUUUUUCAGUUAGAAUCAAUGGCUUUGUAACACUUAAUUAUAACGGUCAACUUGUUUCGCGGAUUAUUAGCCAAAAGUAAACAUUGUUUUAAGCAUAUGUCCUUAAUUAUUUCUAUUGGAUUAACGUUUGGUGCUACUCCUGUUUAAAGUCAACAUUUCAUCAAAGUACAAAUUCUCAACGUUUCGAACUUUGCCCAGAAUUUACCAAAUCAUGUUGGCAUAUUUAACAUUUCAGCUAUCAUAUCAGCCACUCCAAAAGAAAACCACCACUGUGGCCAUGUUGUCUUUUAUAAAUGUGUGUAUAUUGAUACAGUUCAUGAAUAAAGUUAUUUGAUACAA